ensembl:snRNA U6 U6 spliceosomal RNA
GGGCUCUCACUUUGUCAGCACAUAUACUAAAACAGGAACGAUACAGAGAAGAUUAGCACUGCCCCUGCACAACGAUGACACACAAUUUGUGAAGUGUUCCAUAUUUUU